rnacentral:misc_RNA from 1 species
ACUAUUAUUGGUGCUGGUAUCAUGGCAUUGCCUGCCACCAUGAAGGUUCUGGGACUUGGCAUUGGGAUUGGUAUGAUAGUGUUUGUUGCAGUCCUCACAGAGCGCUCUGUAGAGAUUUUGUUGAGGUAUAGCAAGUCCGGGAAGCUGGACUCCUAUGGUGGGGUGAUGGGAAGUGCAUUUGGGAAUGGUGGGAGGAGGUUGCUUCAGAUUUUUGUGCUUCUUAACAAUGUUGGGAUCCUCAUA